rnacentral:rRNA from 1 species
GUCUACAGCCAUGCUACCUUGAAUAAGCCUGAUCCCGUCUGAUCUUAGAAGUUAAGCAGAGUCGGGCCUAGUUAGUACUUGAAUGGGAAACCACCUAGAAAGACCAGGUGCUGUAGGUG